rnacentral:tRNA from 1 species
GCACGAAUGGUCUAGUGGUAGAAUAGUACCCGGUUCAGAUCCGGGUUCGAUUCCCAGCUGGUGCA